GGGAAGGUGGUGCGGGGGAGACUGUUCGUGUGGGCCUAGUGGCUACUGUACUAAGGUUUUGGACCUCAUGUAAAGGGAGACGCAGCUCCUGUACACUUAACGUAGCGUCUGCAAUUUUCACUCAUUCUACGUCAUGGCCAGGGAGCAGCCCGUUAGACAAACACCCCAUCAUUUGUUUAUCGGGUCUCCUGCUGGUGGACUUCUGGGGUGUUUCCAGUCUGGGGCUACGAUGGCUACGUGGCUGUGAACUUCCCGAGCAUGUUGUUGGGGGGCACUCACCCAACAUUGUGGCAGUGAAACAAAGAGGCCAUUAGACGGGGACGGCUCUAAGCCCUGGCGGCCUCAGUGAGCAAGCCAGAGCCCAAGCCGGACACUGUGUGCUGGGUUUGGAGGACACGAGACCCAAGAUGUGACCUGUCGAUGACAAACAGCCAGAGGCUCCCCCAAACAAGGCAGCUGCCCAAGCUAAGCUCCAGCGAUCACAGCAGGUCCCUGCUCUGCCUCUGCACCGUCUCCAGGAAGCUCUCCUGGGUUGGAGCGCCCCUAACCACUUCUGUUUUGGCGCGGCCAGAUUCGAAUUGCUGGACGCUCAAGUAAACCCUUCACAAUUGUUAUGUGCCUCAGUUUACCACCUAGCACCAACUUCACUGAGCUACUGUUUACACACAGUAUUUUAAGGGAACA